GGUCCCGUGGUCAGUUGGUAGAGCAUGGUGUUUGCAACGCCAGGGUUGUGGGUUCGAUUCCCACGGGGGACCA
rnacentral:tRNA from 1 species